AAGUCGUAACAAGGUUUCCGUAGGUGAACCUGCGGAAGGAUCAUUAAAAUAGGAUUGUGCUUAUGUGUAGUGCAAGUCUAUCCUUGUGUUGUGUAAUGUUGCUUGCGCAUAUUUUUGUGUGUGCGCAUAGUUUUUCUCGACUCUUUUUUUUUCUUUUUUUUUCUAUAAAUUUCUGACAUAUUUACAUAACAAUCGAAAACUGCCAGCAAUGGAUCACUCGGUUCUC
rnacentral:misc_RNA from 1 species